GAUGAAGAACGUAGCGAAAUGCGAUACGUAAUGUGAAUUGCAGAAUUCAGUGAAUCAUCGAAUCUUUGAACGCACAUUGCGCCCGCUAGUAUUCUGGAGGGCAUGCCUGUCCGAGCGUCAUUUCAACCCAUCAAGCUUAGCGCUUGUGUUGGAGCCCUGCGGCCGCCGCAGCCUCCUAAAAUCAGUGGCGGGCUCGCUAUCACGCUGAGUGCAGUAGUAUUCUUCUCACUCCUGUGGUGUAGCGGGUAACCAGCCGUAAACCCCCCCAUCUAUAAAGGUUGACCUCGGAUCAGGUAGGAAUACCCGCUGAACUUAAGCAUAUCAAUAAGCGGAGGA
rnacentral:misc_RNA from 1 species